rnacentral:piRNA from 1 species
GGGAAAAGCCUUACGUGUGCCGGGAA